GACCCAAAAAUUCCUGCUCACGGGGUGUCCUGUAAAUGACAAAUACAUCAAGCAUUUCCCAAGUCCCAGCCACAAACCAAUCACUCAUCAAGUUGUACAGGUAUUUGCGAUAUAUAGCCGCCUGAAAAUGAAGAUUGGUGAUUGAAGGAGGUGGAAUGGCGUGAAACAGUUUACAAGACACCCCGUGAGCAGGAAUUUUUGGGUCUUUGAACCGAAGGCAGAAGGGGCAAUCAGCGUCCCGUAGGAGGGCCACCUAUGAUCGAUAACUGCGAGGAGUAGUGGGGCACCAGCGGUGAAGCGUCAAGUGAGGAUCAGUAACGCGUGACGCGAGGGUGAAGGUUACCAAAGGAGAAGGACAAAAAAAAUAGAAAAGAGAGAGAAAAAGGAAAAGGGAAAGAAAAGUAGAAGGGAAAAAAGAAAAGUUAGGUGGAUUUG
rnacentral:misc_RNA from 1 species